UAGAUCAAUGUUUAGCCUAUAGGAGCUGUCCCAAUGGGCAUGGUACUGAAAUGACCAUUAUUCUGCCCAUUGGUUGCCCAUGGCCUAAAGAAAGAGAUCUCACAUUUGUAUCUGUGAUUUCAACACCUGGCUACUCCCACUGGUAACAGGCUCCGAGUUUUAUCAAGAACACGAGUUUUAAGUGGCCACUAAAUUAUUGUGGCUGUGUAGGGCAAAAGCCUGCCAGGAUGCCUGCCUAGCCCCUAUUAGCGGUAGGAUGUGUGAUGCCAGCCAUUAGCUGGUAGGAUGUGUGAUGCCAGCCAUUAGCCGGUAGGAUGUGAUGUGUCUGGAAUAUUAAACGAGCAGAUGGUGCGCGAGGCAGCCGGAUGUAUUGUUGAAGGGAGGGCUCUGACUGGUGCGCGACAGCACUAACAAAGUAAUAGUAACCUAGAACAUAUUGUUUCUAUUAUUUUUGUCGGUAUAUUCCUAUAUUCACACGAUCUGACCAGUAGGAUAGUGUAAAUUAGACUACAGAAAUUGGCUCCGACGACGGAUUUUAUUAAAGCGAGGAAAUAGGCUACCAAGCGGUGAUAAAUCCGUUUCUCGUAUUCUUUGAAACGUCGGGAAUCAAAGCUCUGCCUCCCAGUGAACCGCUACACCGGCCGGCAUGUCUUACCAAGGCAAGAAGAACAUUCCCCGUUUGUCGGUAGGCACUCCUCGUUCAUCGGUAGGUAUACGUUUUGUCGGUAGGCACUCCUCGUUCAUCGGUAGGUAUAUACGUUUGUCGCCCCACACACCGGUAUUAUUUAUCGAUUGCAACGAGAAAAAGGUAACCUAAAUGGUGUGAUAAAUCGUAUUUGAAUCAUCUUAUCAUCACGCAACUACCGGCUACUGCUUUAGCCUACUGACUUCACAAUGUCAAAGCCCGAACAAGAUACUCUCUUGGCAUCGAAUGUCUGUUCCGUCCUGGUAGAACGUUUUCUCGCUGCAAAUACAAGUAAAACACACAGAGGCUAUAUAAUAUAGGCGAACAAUAAAUUGUAGUGAAUUGAUCAUGGCGGCGCCGGCCGUUGUGGACUGAUCAGAGGGCUGUCUCGCAUUGUCGCAUGUCCCCACAUUUCAGUCAGUGAUUUAAUUGAAUGGCAUGCAGAAUCCGGCCAAAUAAUACAUUUGAAUUGCAUAUAAUAUCGUCCAAUAAAUGUUUUCCAUUGAAAAGACUCAACAAAGAUCUCGAACGUCUCAGAGAUGCAUUUCUAAGUGACCACGACAGCCUAUAUCGUUAACCAUCAAACCAUGGACAUCUUGCAGCCGAAACGGUCUUGUCUGAGACUCCGAGAGCCUCUAUGUCUCCUGCUAAAGGUUUCCCCUUGUCGUUAAAAUGGGACAGAUUCAUCCAUGCGGAGGAAGGGAGCACACAGUUGUACGCUAUAGCAACAGAGACAGGGCGUAGUUAGUGAAGCCACACUGAAUCCUAUUUUCUUCCGGGCAAUUUGACACAGUGGUCUGGCUGAUGCAAAGCCUACACAGUACAGGGCCGCUCCUUUAACCAGCAUGACCCACAUUCUCCUCCUUUGGAAUCAUUCUCUCCAUUUUUGACGAGCAGCAGUUGAAUAU
rnacentral:lncRNA from 13 species